rnacentral:rRNA from 1 species
CCUACGGGAGGCAGCAGUGGGGAAUAUUGCACAAUGGGGGAAACCCUGAUGCAGCGACGCCGCGUGAGUGAAGAAGUAUUUCGGUAUGUAAAGCUCUAUCAGCAGGGAAGAAAUACUGACCAUAGGGUCAGCAGACGGUACUUGACUAAGAAGCCCCGGCUAACUACGUGCCAGCAGCCGCGGUAAU